rnacentral:misc_RNA from 1 species
AACGCACGAGACCUGCGGACCUGCGGAGGGAUCAUUAGUGAACGCCCUCACGGGCUUAUAACUAUUCCAAACCUCUGUGAACCGUGCCCUUCGGGGCUAUUUUACAAACAUGGUGUAAUGAACGUCAUAUAUCAUAACAAAACAAAACUUUCAACAAUGGAUCUCUAGAUCU